CGCCUAAGCCUUCCCUCCGCCGACCGAGUCCCCUCCCCGCAGCAACACGGCUUCCCUUCCUCAGCUCAGCGACAGGGGCUUCCCCUCAGCCGCCGCCGCCGCCGCCGCCGCCGCCGGCCGAGCCCCGCCGCGCCCGCGGCCCGCGGCCGCCAUGCAGUUUAUGUUGCUUUUUAGUCGUCAGGGAAAGCUUCGACUGCAGAAAUGGUAUGUCCCACUGUCAGACAAAGAGAAGAAAAAGAUCACAAGAGAACUUGUUCAAACCGUCUUAGCACGGAAACCUAAAAUGUGCAGCUUUCUUGAGUGGCGAGAUCUGAAGAUUGUUUACAAAAGAUAUGCUAGUCUGUAUUUUUGCUGUGCUAUUGAGGAUCAGGACAAUGAACUAAUUACCCUGGAAAUAAUUCAUCGUUAUGUGGAAUUACUUGACAAGUAUUUUGGCAGUGUGUGUGAACUUGAUAUCAUCUUUAAUUUUGAGAAGGCUUAUUUUAUUUUGGAUGAGUUUCUUUUGGGAGGGGAGGUUCAGGAAACAUCCAAGAAAAAUGUCCUUAAAGCAAUUGAGCAAGCUGAUCUACUGCAGGAGAGCCAGAAUGAAGAAUGGGGAGGUUUGUCUGAGGAUAUCUUAUGAUAAAGAGCAGUCUAAGGCUUUAGUCCCUUUGACCCCCAACUUAUUUAUUGGAAGCUGAAACCCCACGUAGUGUUCUUGAAGAAAUUGGACUGACAUAACUCUCCUCCCUUGUUGAUGACUUCUUGUGGCAUUUCACACACUGUAGAUGGUCACUGCCUUCAUGUCCAUGUUAGCUAAUGGUGUAAGAUGACGUCUUGUCAGUAUUACUGUUUUGCUAAGCUGCUUCAUUCAGGCCUACACAAAUUUUGUUUUUAAGGGAACUUUGGUUAAUCAAGUGGUAACUUAAGGGACUUAAAUAUGAAUUAGAGUACUGCAGAGAGAGAAAGGCGCCUUUUCUGAAGAUUGAAGAGUAUCUAUGAAAAUGACACAAUCAGGCAAUAUGCAUUGAUUAAUUACUGUCUUUGGCAAAGUAAACUUAAAUUAUAAUGUGAAACCUAAUUUUAUGAAACCAAAGACUAGUGCAGCAUUUCAGUAUAUAUGAGAAUAAAGGGAAUUGACAUGUCACCUAUCAAAUGAAUGAAAAUUUAACUGUUGAAACUUGAAAAAAAAAAAUUUUUCUACCAAAGAUCCUUAUUGGAAACUACAUACCUUAAAACAAAGGGAAUAUAUAAACGACUAAAUUGGAACAAUGCUGCUUUACACUAAAUAUUUUCUUAAGCGUUCCAAACGUGGGACGAGGAACAGACCAACUGUUUCGUAGUAGUGAGCACAUUAUUUUUAAGGCCAAGGAACAUUUGACUCCUGAGAUAAAUUAUUUGUGGUCAUAAUCAUUUAGUCACUUAGUUGGAUUGUUUCUGAUACCCCAAAUGAAAUGGAAAUGUUGGCUUAUGUGGAAUUCUUCACAACAGUAUCUUACAGAAAAUGUGUUACUCUCUACACGAAGUGUUGCGUAAGUCAUUAAAGCACGAAUAUUCCUUCUGGGGUGCUUGUUACAGAUCCAUUUAUUUUGCUCUGCUGUUGAUUCUCUCCACUUGUAAGUGCUGCAAACUUUAGGGCAGCUUCCUUCCCUUCCAUGGCACUGCUUAGUUAUCAGAAGUCUUAGAGAAAGACACUACCUUUCACAGGAAAGCGAGAGUUGAAUGAAGUAAAGUGGCGUUAGUGGGCCCUAGAUUUUUGGAAGCUCUACAGUUGUUUCAGUGUCACUUUUGUACAUACUUCUAGGUAUGUAAACAUGUCUUCACAGCUUACACUUUCAUUUGUAUCUGCUGGGCUGGACUAAGUGUUGUUGUGAUUGUGACCAACAUUCAGGUCACGUGAGCACUGUCUUAUCAUAUCGCCAAUUAGUUGUAAUAAAUGUUCAACGUACACCACUGUAGUGUGUUUUUAUCUAUCUCUUUCCAAAAGUUUGUCAAACUGGAGAGCUGCUGGAGGAAUUUUUUUUUUCAGUAAAAUGUUGAAAGUUCAUCUCCAUUUGAAUGUGGUUGUUAAAAGCACACACACAAGAUAAAUGGCAGAAGAUUUAAGGAGUCUUCAUGUACUUCAAGCUCAUUAAAAAGUAAUGUGGAUUCCAUGCUGAGAGCUUAUCUACACAUUUAUUUUCAAUCAAUAAAUGCCGCUUUUAAAACCUUGA